rnacentral:rRNA from 1 species
CACGUAGGGACCAAGCGUUGUCCGGAUUCAUUGGGCGUAAAGAGCUCGUAGGCGGUUCGGUAAGUCGGGUGUGAAACCUCCAGGCUCAACCUGGAGACGCCACCCGAUACUGCUGUGACUAGAGUCCAGUAGGGGAGCGUGGAAUUCCUGGUGUAGCGGUGAAAUGCGUAGAUAUCAGGAGGAACACCAAUUGCGAAGGCAGCUCGCUGGGACGUUACUGACGCUGAGACGCGAAAGCGUGGGGAGCAAACAGG